rnacentral:rRNA from 1 species
UACAGAGGGUGCGAGCGUUGUCCGGAAUCACUGGGCGUAAAGGGCGCGUAGGCGGCUUGAUAAGGUUGCGGUGAAAGCCCGGGGCUCAACCCCGGGUCGGCCGUGGCAACUGUCGAGCUGGAGCACUGUAGAGGCAGGUGGAAUUCCGGGUGUAGCGGUGGAAUGCGCAGAUAUCAGGAGGAACACCGGUGGCGAAGGCGGGUCUCUGGGCCGGAACUGACGCUGAGGAGCGAAAGCGUGGGGAGCGAACAGG